GCUCUGUGCGCGGGAAGCGUUAGGAGGGAUGUCCGUGUCCCUUGCCACACUCUUCUCUGUGCCCCCGGUGUCUCUUGGGGUUUUGGCCCAAUCCCAGGUCACCAGGCAAGACCCAGCUAGAGCUGGACCUGGUGGUGGUGGAGAGUUUGCAGACGCGGGGACACCGAAAUAUCCCGUCCCCUCCCCCGCUGCCAAGGUCCCCAGAUACCACCCAGAGCCCGGCCAGGCAGAGGGUGACGGUCAGGGUGACCUGGAGGCCGGCAGCAGCCCCUGCAGAAGAGACGGCUAGGCAGCCUCCCGCUCCUCCGCUACGGACCCUCCCUCCUCCUUCCUGACAGGAUCCCAGAAGCCAAGGUGAGCAGGAGGCACCAGCACCAACGUCCCAGCCCGGAAGGUGGGACUCAGGCCUCGGCUCUCACCCCUUCCUGUUCCUCCUUCUGCUCAUCAGAGGCCUCCAUCGGGUUGAAUGCCCCUGGGGCCAGGCAGAUCUCCAAAGGACAUGAAGGUGUUGUUGGCUGAUGGAAGCAGAGGAUCUAGCUCCCAAGAGAGGGUUUGCUGCAUGGCAGGGCAGCCAUUAUGGUGCCACCAGGAGUCUCACCCCAGGUACCCUCCCAGGGUCAACACAGAAGUUGGAGUCUGGGGUCCCCAUCUGUCCCCAGGCCAUAAGCCUGAUGCUGAAUAAGGAGCCGUGGAUGCAGUCUCCCUGGGCCCAGCCACCAGGGAGAGGGUGCCCCUGCCACCAUCCACCUGCUGCCCUGGCCUCACCUCUCCACCUCACUGAGCCCCUCCAAGGACCUGGAUCAGGCCUCAAAUUGCUCCUCUGGUGCGAGGCUGAGAUUUCUGCAGGUCGACGGGAUCAGGUCUCCUGUGCGUCACAUUCUCCGAGGGUCAGGAGGAAGGGGAUGGUGCCAGGGAGUGUUCUGUCAGCCAACACUACAGGUGAACUCACUGCCCUCCCCCCUACAUGGGACACGACUCCCAGGGGUGUAAAUCUCCCUGGCAAUGCCAGACAUGACAUCCAGGGAUGAAACUGAACCAAGCAUCGUGGGAUUCAGAAGGACUUCUUGACAAAAAUGGGGAAGACAAAUGAAGCAAAAUAAAGUCUCAGUGGCUGAGAGAUUUCAAAUGGAAUCAAGAGGUCAUUCUGGAGGUUAUUCUUAUUGCAUUGUAUAGAUAUCCUUUUUAAGUUUUUAGUGUAUUAGA